GCCAACAUGGUGUAGUGGUUUGAGCAUUAGGCUAUGACCCUGGAGCCCAGGGUUCAAUUCUCCGCUCAGCCA